GUAAAAAAACGCAGUUUGGUGAGUUUUGUUUGGUGAGGGAACGCAAAGGUUCUUGGGAGAAUGCAAAGGUUUAGUGAACAAACGCAAAGGUUUGGUGAGGGAACGCAAAGGUUCUCGGGGGAAUGUAAAGGUUUGACUAGGGGACGCAAAGAUUUAGUGAACG